UAGAGUUUGAUCCUGGCUCAGAUUGAACGCUGGCGGCAGGCCUAACACAUGCAAGUCGAGCGGAUGAAGGGAGCUUGCUCCCUGAUUCAGCGGCGGACGGGUGAGUAACACGUGAGUAACCUGCCCUUGACUCUGGGAUAAGCGUUGGAAACGACGUCUAAUACCGGAUAUGACCUGUGACGGCAUCGUCUGCAGGUGGAAAGAAUUUUGGUCAAGGAUGGACUCGCGGCCUAUCAGGUAGUUGGUGAGGUAACGGCUCACCAAGCCGACGACGGGUAGCCGGCCUGAGAGGGUGACCGGCCACACUGGGACUGAGACACGGCCCAGACUCCUACGGGAGGCAGCAGUGGGGAAUAUUGCACAAUGGGCGAAAGCCUGAUGCAGCAACGCCGCGUGAGGGACGACGGCCUUCGGGUUGUAAACCUCUUUUAGUUGGGAAGAAGGGAGCUUGCUCUUGACGGUACCAGCAGAAAAAGCACCGGCUAACUACGUGCCAGCAGCCGCGGUAAUACGUAGGGUGCAAGCGUUGUCCGGAAUUAUUGGGCGUAAAGAGCUCGUAGGCGGUUUGUCGCGUCUGCUGUGAAAUCUGGGGGCUCAACCCCCAGCCUGCAGUGGGUACGGGCAGACUAGAGUGCGGUAGGGGAGAUUGGAAUUCCUGGUGUAGCGGUGGAAUGCGCAGAUAUCAGGAGGAACACCGAUGGCGAAGGCAGAUCUCUGGGCCGUUACUGACGCUGAGGAGCGAAAGCAUGGGGAGCGAAC
rnacentral:rRNA from 1 species